rnacentral:rRNA from 1 species
GACGAACGCUGGCGGCGUGCUUAACACAUGCAAGUCGAACGGACAGGCCCUGCUUUUGUGGGGUGCUCGAGUGGCGAACGGGUGAGUAACACGUGAGUAAAAUGCACUUGAAAUUGGGAUAACUUCAGGAAAAUGGGGCUAAUAUCGGGUAGGAGCUACUGAUGCAUGGUGGGGGAUGGAAAGUUUCGGCGGUUGGGGCUGGAAUCGAGGCUUACCAGCUUGUUGGUGGGGUAGGGGUUUACCAAGGCUUUGAAGGGUAGCCGGCCUGAGAGGGUGACCGGGCACAUUGCGACUGAGGGACGGCGCAGUAGGCAACGGGAGGCAGCGGUGGGGAAUAUGACACAAUGGGGGGAAGCCAGAUGUGGCAACGCCGCGUGCGUGAUACCGUCCUUUGGGUGGUAAACCGCUGUCGCCGGUGAUGAAGCGUGAUUGACGGUAAUGGGUAAAGAAGCACCGGCUAACUACGUG